UCUCCCAGAGACUUUCAUUCCGGAUCUCCAGCUGGCUCUCCGGGCCCCCUGGCUUGGGGAAGACGCCAGAGGGGGGUGGGCAACGAAUGGCCUCGGAGCCCAGCCUGCCGGAGAACAAGAAAUCCGCUAAGUCCGCGAUCUACUGUGGCUAGGAGAGCGCAGAGCGUUCGCCGGCGCACAGCCCGCGGCCUCGUUCCCUUUGUGCUUCGGGGCGGCGGGACUGCCACUCCGCCCCGAGUUAGCAGAAGAGGAAAGUUGGAAGAGAUCGGCGCUCCUGGGAUGUGAUUGUCAUCCUGGGGCCGGCGCUCGAGAGUCUGAGAGAAAGCGAGAGAGAGGGAGA
rnacentral:lncRNA from 1 species